CCUCGCCCAUCAGAACCAUCUCCCUCCUCCAGCUCACCCCCUCUAUGUUCUUAGUCACGCCGCCGCCGCUUUUCUCGGCGCAUAAGGCACGACGACUUCCUCACUCGAAGCCUUGCUUGACAACACGAGAUUUGGCGUCUGCCAUACGCCGAUGGCUGGCGACCGCGCUGCCACGCGUCGCGGAUUUCCCGGUAGGUGCCACCGUGCUAUUCAACCGAGAUGCCAAGCCGCAUCGUCUCACCGCCGCCACCUCCUGCUCCUCUCCCUUUAUAAAAUGGGCACGCCGGCCCAUUUUUCCCCUUCUCCCUCGUCUACAUCCCGCCGCCGCCCAAAUCCACCGCCACCACUGCAAGCCACCGUUCCAAGCCGCACGCCGCUUCAAUCUGCUAGCCACCACCGCAGGGCCGUCAUCGGGAGCGCGAGGAGCCAUUGGAAAGCAUUUGGAAUCGGGAGGAGCACGGGGACACAGAGCCGGGCCGCUACUCACGGCGCCGCCGCACAUCCCUCCACCACCGACCAUCACACCCUCUUUGCACAUUGAAUUGAAGGAAUUCGCGGAGGAACCGUAGAAUCCUAACUUCGACCAGGGACUAGAGGAAGACUUUGGAGAUGAGGAGAUGGAUGCAGACUUCACAAGAGACGAAGGAGCGGAUGAGAAGUAGAUUGAGCGGUCACGUUUGCACACGAGCUGCCUGUGGCUUUAGGCUAUUUUUCCGAUGUGCUUUUGUUAGCCGGUUGGCUAUGUUUGUAAUGUACCAUGUGGUUUAAAGAUCUUUUGUACUCUUGUAACCUUAAUAUUUUAUAUACGAUGUAUGAU